CUACGGGGGGCACCAGUGAGGAAUUUUUCACAAUGGACGAAAGUCUGAUGGAGCAAUACCACGUGAACGAUGAAGGUCUUCUGAUUGUAAAGUUCUUUUAUUUAGGAAAAAAGCGCGCUAGGAAAUGAGCGCGCCUUGAUGGUACUAAUUGAAUAAGUGACAGCUAACUAUGUGCCAGCAGCUGCGGUAAAACAUAGGUCACGAGCAUUAUCCGGAUUUAUUGGGCGUAAAGGAAGCGUAGGCGGGGAGGUUGAUCCAUUGUUAAAAGCAUUUGCUUAACAAAUGUGUGCAUUGGAGAUCGCCUCCCUAGAGUUAAUCAGGGGGUACUGGAAUUCAAUGUGUAGCGGUGGAAUGCGUAGAUAUAUUGAGGAACACCAGAGGCUAAGGCGAGUGCCUAGGAUAUAACUGACGCUGAGGCUUGAAAGCGUGGGGAGCAAAUGGGAUUAGAUACCCUAGUAGUC
rnacentral:rRNA from 1 species